AUUGAACGCUGGCGGCAGGCCUAACACAUGCAAGUCGAGCGGAUGAAGGGAGCUUGCUCCUGGAUUCAGCGGCGGACGGGUGAGUAAUGCCUAGGAAUCUGCCUGGUAGUGGGGGAUAACGUCCGGAAACGGGCGCUAAUACCGCAUACGUCCUGAGGUAGAAAGUGGGGGAUCUUCGUACCUCACGCUAUCAGAUGAGCCUAGGUCGGAUUAGCUAGUUGGUGGGGUAAAGGCCUACCAAGGCGACGAUCCGUAACUGGUCUGAGAGGAUGAUCAGUCACACUGGAACUGAGACACGGUCCAGACUCCUACGGGAGGCAGCAGUGGGGAAUAUUGGACAAUGGGCGAAAGCCUGAUCCAGCCAUGCCGCGUGUGUGAAGAAGGUCUUCGGAUUGUAAAGCGCUUUAAGUUGGGAGGAAGGGCAGUAAGUUAAUACCUUGCUGUUUUGACGUUACCAACAGAAUAAGCACCGGCUAACUUCGUG
rnacentral:rRNA from 1 species